rnacentral:lncRNA from 1 species
CCAAAACCCACCUUUUCUUCCAUUAAAAUUACCACGUAAAGCACCCAAACAUCACCAAAAACCAGCAACCAAACUUUAGAGAAAAUCAAUCCAAACGAUAGCUCAAACAUAACAAAAAUUCAGCAAAAAAAAACCAGAAAUCAGCCUCCAAAACAGAUCCAAAAAUAGCCCCAAACCUACCAAAAAAUAGUCUCAAAACUCUGCCCUCAAACCAGCCCUCUUCUCCGUCCAAAAACGACCCCAAAAUAGCCCCUUCUUCCUCCCUGAAUAGCAUAAAACCCAGCUGAAAUUCAGCUAAAAAAUACUCAAAAACAGCAGUGAAAACAGAUGCCAAACUCACCCCAUUAAUACCAUCUAAAGCUCCGCCAAAAGCCCAAAAAAUGCAGCUGAAAAUAUGCCCAAAAUGCAGCAAAAUCAGCUGCGAAGCUGCUGAAAAACAGCACAAAAACACCCCAAAAUCAACCCAAAAACCGUCCAAAAAUCAACGCCGAACAGAUCUGAAAAUCUGUUUAAAAACCAACUGAAAACCAGCCCGAACAGUUACACAAAUCAGCCAAUCCCCACCCCAAAUUGGAGGAUUUCGUUGUUCAGCUCUGGGCGUGAAAAAGCACGCAAUUGAGGUCUAUUCGACGAGGUUUUCAGUCGAGAUUCCGGUUCGUAGCUUCGGUGUUUCAACCCAAUAAUCGUUGUUUUAUUUAGCCCAAAUGAAUUACAAAUUUUCAGCUUUGUUCAUCAAUACAAAGGUUCAUUUUCAUCUCAUUUUGAUAUUUUCAGUUUGAUUCCAUGAUUAAAAGCAUGACUUGAUUUGUUUAAAUAUUUUCGAGUUCGUAAUUUAUGUUUGAUAUAUGAUUUGAUUGUUGAUGAUGACUGGUUAUGUAAAUUAGACUUUGAAAUACUACAUGAUGAUGGAAUAUCAUUUGAAAAGUGAGGGCAUUUGAUUAUUUUCAAAUUGUUCUUUCUAAACCGGAUUUUGUUACUAUCUUUGUCAUGAAAUAGAUAGUGGAUAAAUUGAGUUUAAUGCUAAUUAUUAUUGGAUCCGUUUGGGGCUCUUUCAAGAUUUGGACCAAAUAAGAUAAGUUCUGGCAGAAGCCUAAAAGAAAAACUAGGACGUCCAUAUUUAUCCAUAUGCUGGCCCAAUUUUUCUCAAACACAUGUAGCUCACCAUUCCAUAACUAAUUAAUCUAUUUCAUGCUUCUCUACAAUGACUUCUAUACUCUUACUUUAAUGACCCGACCGAUCGUUUUGAGCUCUAGCACGCCGUUCAGCGGUUUGAGGUCUUGAGUAGUUUCACUUCAGGUAUUAUGACUUAUACGUGUGAUCGGAGUUGCAUUUCGGGAAGUUCAGAGUUGAUUUGGAAAGAAAAUUCUAAUUUUAGAAGCUUUAAAUUGGAAGAAUUGACUAAGGUUUGACUUUUGAGUAAAUGACUUCGAAAUCAGGAUUUGAAGGUUCCAAUAGGUUUAUGAUGAUUUUGGACUUGGGCAUAGGUUCGAGUUGAGUAUCGGAUCACCUGGGAGCAUUUCAACGCUUAUUGUCGAAAGUUGGCAUUCUGAAAGCUUUAGAAUUUUUUAAGUUUGGUCUGAGGUAGACUUUGAUGUUAUCGAUUUCUGUUUGGGAUCCCGAGCCUUGGGAUAGGUUCAUAUUGUGAUUUAUGACUUGUGCGCAAAGUUUGGCGUCAUGCUAGAAUGUUUUGAUAUGAAUCAGAUGCGUUCGUCGAAGUUUGAAAGUUUAAAGAAAGGUUUUGAUCAUUGAUUCAUAACUUUGAUGUUGUUUGGUGUGAUUUGAAACCCCGAGUAGGUUCGUGUCGUGUUUUGAGAUGUGUUGGUAUGUUUGUAUGGGUCCCGGGGGCCUCGAGUUUGAAAUAGAUUGAAAUCGGAUUGAAAUUUGGAUUUGAGUUAAUGCUGGAAACUGCUGAAAUCUGGUGUCACCGCACCUGCGGUGGUUUGGUUGUAGGUGCGGACAUGCAGGUGCAAUGGGGGUCGUCAGAGAAGCGGAGAAAGCCGGCUAGGAGAAGGGCCGAAGGUGCGGAGCUUUGGCCGCAUCUGCACAAACGCAGAAGGGAAACCCUGGGCACAAAAACGGGUGAAGGCGCAGGAGCGAAAGAAUCCCACAAUUGCGAUGCCGCAAAAGCUGGGAAUGUUUCUACAUGUGCGAGGCUUCGUGUUGGGGGAUUUUCCACAGAAGCGGAGGAGUGGUCGCAAAAGCGAGCAGAUUUGUCUAGGCUUAGUGGGAACCGCACCUGCGAUAAGUAUUGCCGCAGGUGCGGAGCCGCAGAAGCGGCUAAUGGACCGCAGGUGCGAAGGUCGGGCUGGGCAGUGUGUUCUUUUAAAAUGUGGGUUUGGCUCAAUUCCACUUCAUUUCGUCCGUGGGAGCCAAUUUUGGAGUGCCAUUUUCAUCAUCUAUUAUGGGGUAAGUGAUGUCUUCACAUAGUGAGUUAAAUACAUGGUUUAUGUAUGGAUUUAAGCAUGAGAAUUUUUAGAAAUUUGGAAUUUUGGUGGAAAACCUAGAAAUGAGUAAUUCUUUUUACCACGAUUUUGGAAAUAGAAUUAGGAAUAAAUUAUAUAUAUGAGUUCGUGGCGUUAUGGGUAAAGUUUAUCUUCGAAAAUAUUCGAAAUCCGAGCACGUGGGCCCGAGGGAUAAUUUUAUUGACUUUUAAAGUGGAGUUGAGGACUUUUAUGAAUUGAUUAAUUAUAAGCAUUGGAGUAUAUUUUGAUUGACUUGCACAUUGUUUGACUAGUUACAGAUCGUUUGACUUUGAGUUGAGGUGUUAGAGAGACGUUGAAGACGGUCAUAGAACUUCGGAGCGAGAUAAGUCUCUUGUCUAACCUUGUGAGGGGAAAACUACCCCUAGGUGAUAUUUAUUGUUAUGUGCAACUAGUUGUAGGUGUUACGUACGCACGAGAUGACGAGAGUCCGUCCGUAGCUAAAAUAUGUUUAUGUCCGGGUAGACUUAGGAUUUUAUCAUGUAAUAAUUAAAUUAUUUGAACUCGUUCUGCUAGCUUAAUUAAUUAAAGUUAUAACUAAAUUUGAUUUAGAAAUAAAUAUAUGUAUAAUAGGCCGGGCACUAAUACUUUGAGUUGUGGGUGAGUUAUUUGAGAAACAAUAAAGAUUAUAUUCGUUUUGUGCUCAUGUACUAUUUUGUAAACACGUGUCUCGUAAUUUGGUAACUUCCUUCUUUUCUUGUGGAGCGAGCCGAACAGCUCGGCAGUAUAAUAGAUGCAUCUAUGGUUCGUGCAGCUCGACCCUUGACAGUGUACAUAUUAUUUUGGAUCGGGCCGAACGAUCUCUGCAGAAUCGUGCGUUAUAUCGCUAGUAGUCUGAAUAUUCACAAGAUAAACCUUCCACUGAUGCCCGACAUUUUUAUUGUAUUCCUUAUUUAUUUAAUAUUGACACUUGGCAUUUCCUGAGCUAUUAAGGUAGUAUACAAGAUCGAAAAAUUUAUAUUAAAAGAAAUAUUUAGAAGAUUAUGAAAUUUAUAGAUUUACCCCGUUAUAGCUGUGCACUUCAUAUCUGUUAUGAAUAAUUAUAAUAUUUUUAUUGGACCUCUAGUAAGUGUCGAUGUCGACCCCUCGUCACUACUUCUUGGGGGUUAGGCUAGAUACUUACUGGGUACGCAUUGAUUUACGUACUCAUGCUGCACUUCUACACUAAAUGUGCAGGUUCUGACAGGUUCAUUUGGUUAUCAUCUUGGCGUGUAAGCGCAUCUGUUGAGGAUACAUUAUGUGAGAUGCAAUCCAGGUUACACAUCGCUAUCCACCGAGUCUCCAUCGUACUUUUUAUUUUAUUCUGUAUUAUUUACAUUCUGGACAGAUGUUGUAUUAUUAUUGUAUUCCUUAGAAAAUGCUCAUGCACUUGUGACACACGGGUUUGGGGUUGUACUAGUUGAUGUUUAGGGUUUCGUGCAUUACUAUUGCCUUUCAUUUCUUUUAUAAAUUACAAAUGUUAUAC